AGAGUUUGAUUAUGGCUCAGGAUGAACGCUAGCGGCAGGCCUAACACAUGCAAGUCGAGGGGUAGAAGGAGCUUGCUCCUUUGAGACCGGCGCACGGGUGCGUAACGCGUAUGCAAUCUACCUUGUACAGGGGAAUAGCCCAGAGAAAUUUGGAUUAAUGCCCCAUAGUAUAUAACCUUCGCAUGUUGGUUAUAUUAAAGUUCCAACGGUACAAGAUGAGCAUGCGUCCCAUUAGUUAGUUGGUAAGGUAACGGCUUACCAAGACGAUGAUGGGUAGGGGUCCUGAGAGGGAGAUCCCCCACACUGGUACUGAGACACGGACCAGACUCCUACGGGAGGCAGCAGUGAGGAAUAUUGGUCAAUGGUCGCAAGACUGAACCAGCCAUGCCGCGUGCAGGAAGACGGUCCUAUGGAUUGUAAACUGCUUUUAUACAGGAAGAAACCCUCCCACGUGUGGGAGCUUGACGGUACUGUAGGAAUAAGGAUCGGCUAACUCCGUGCCAGCAGCCGCGGUAAUACGGAGGAUCCAAGCGUUAUCCGGAAUCAUUG
rnacentral:rRNA from 1 species